CCUACGGGAGGCAGCAGUAAGGAAUAUUGGACAAUGGGCGAAAGCCUGAUCCAGCCAUGCCGCGUGAAGGAUUAAGGUCCUCUGGAUUGUAAACUUCUUUUAUGUGGGACGAAAAAAGGGCAUUCUUGCUCACUUGACGGUACCAUAUGAAUAAGCACCGGCUAACUCCGUGCCAGCAGCCGCGGUAAUACGGAGGGUGCAAGCGUUAUCCGGAUUCACUGGGUUUAAAGGGUGCGUAGGCGGAUAGGUAAGUCAGUGGUGAAAUCUCGAAGCUUAACUUCGAAACUGCCAUUGAUACUAUCUAUCUUGAAUAUUGUGGAGGUUUGCGGAAUAUGUCAUGUAGCGGUGAAAUGCUUAGAUAUGACAUAGAACACCGAUUGCGAAGGCAGCAGGCUACACAUAUAUUGACGCUGAGGCACGAAAGCGUGGGGAUCAAACAGGAUUAGAUACCCUGGUAGUCCACGCCCUAAACCGAUGAUUACUCGACAUACGCGAUACACUGUGUGUGUUNUGAGACGAAGACAUUAAGUAAGUACCACCGUCGGUAGUACGUCCGCGAGAGUAGAACGUACGAAGGAAGUUAGACGGCGUUGAGGACGNGCCGACGGACGACGACGAGGGAGGAGG
rnacentral:rRNA from 1 species